rnacentral:rRNA from 13 species
AGGAAACAAAGAAAGAGAAAAAGAAGAGAGAGAAAAGAGAAAAGGAACAACUGGAAAAGGAGAAAGAAAAAGAAAGGGAAAAACAAAAACAGAAAGAACAAGCC